GAUGAAGAACGCAGCGAAAUGCGAUAAGUAGUGUGAAUUGCAGAAUUCAGUGAAUCAUCGAAUCUUUGAACGCACAUUGCGCACGCUAGUAUUCUGGCGGGCAUGCCUGUUCGAGCGUCAUUUCAACCAUCAAGCCCUGUUUAGGCUUGUGUUGGGGCCCUGCGGUUGCCGCAGCCCCCUAAAUGCAGUGGCGGGCUCGUUGUCACUCCGAGCGCAGUAGCGUAUCUCGCUCUGGGCGUGGCGGCGGGUGCUAGCCGUGAAACACCCACUAAGGUUGACCUCGGAUCAGGUAGGAAUACCCGCUGAACUUAAGCAUAUCAAUAAGCGGAGGA
rnacentral:misc_RNA from 1 species